rnacentral:lncRNA from 1 species
AUUUAGUCAUUACAAAGAAGAAACAUGAAAUAGUAAAACAAAGGAAGACAUAUUUUUUUUACCUAAUAGUAUUUCUUGCAUGCAAUAGGAAUAAUGGCUGAAGUGCAGCAACGAAUCUCCUAAAACCCACAUGGUCCGCCAUAGACAAAGGAUAAAAAUGCAACACCAACAUGUUCCCAAGCUCUACUCUAGCAUACUCUUGAUAAAAGGUGUAGCUCUUCAUGCUCACUUUUCCAUCCUCAUUGGCACCCAACUUCAAUGAGGACCGACUCAAACUUUUACCACCCUUGGUCUUCAACUCCUUUUGAGUCCAAAUCCCAAGAUGUUGAGUUGCACUCCUCGAUCCCGCGGUAAGUAUAUUAUGACACUUUGCCCUUCCAUUCUCCAUUGAUCCUCACCUUCUCCAUUUCCAACCAAACCUUAGACGUGAGCUUGCACGUAGAACGUUGAAUCUCCAUCUCUUUGACACCAUCCUCCUCUCCAUCGGAUACAUAAACAGUAUUUCCAUCUUCAUCGACGGACUCGGUGGGUCAAUCCUCAUGGACUUGGCCAUUGCUAGUUGUAUCGUUGCACAAGAAAUUUAUAAAAACAACAUGUGUUAUGGAAAAAUAAAAUAAUACUAUACUACUAUAGUAAAUCAUCCAAUUGGAAGCAUAUACAAACUGCCUAUGUUAUAUUAAAAAUAGUACCAUAGUAAUUAGUUAAUCAUCUAGUACUAUAUAAACAACGUGUUAUAUGCUCAUUUUGGCAAGAACAUAUUCAAGAUUGACUAAACAAUCAAGGAUAAUACACAAGAUAGUAGAAAAAUCAACUCAUACAUCAUAUACAUUCAUCAGUAGAUCAAUCAAACACUAUCAGCAUCAAAGAAAUUAAAAAAGUAUCAUUAUGAUGGGCAAAACUAUUCACCAAAUUGGAGGGUUGUCAAGCUUUGGUUUUUUUGUUGGUGGAGAAAAUGUGUUCCUCGUAGAAGAAGUUGGACGUGGUGCAGCACAGAUGCAGCUACGACCACGCCCCACCUUGUAGCCACCGGCCACGAUCACGCACGGACAUCUGCCCUUUUGAAGGUGGCUGGAGGUGCCAGGAGGAAGGUGAAGAAGUGCACUUCGACGACCAUGUCGUCCCAUGAGAACCGCUCAUGUCGACACCAUCCACGGAACCUGCACGACAAUGCUUGUGGAGUCAUAGUGCUGCCCAUCCUGGAUGUCUGCUUUGCCGACCUCCAUGGCGUCUGGAUGGGAUGGCGUCUGGAUGUCUGCUAGCUUAUGGUUUUUUCAUCUAACUCAAUGACACGUGGGAGCUACCUGAGAGGUUUAUUAUUACUAGCAAAAGGGCCCGUGCGUUGCAAUGGAACAAAAAAAGCACCAUCUUCAAUGACGAUGACCACAUUAUGUUAAUAUCUCACCGCAC